rnacentral:rRNA from 1 species
UGGGGAAUUUUGGACAAUGGGCGAAAGCCUGAUCCAGCAAUGCCGCGUGUGUGAAGAAGGCCUUCGGGUUGUAAAGCACUUUUGUCCGGAAAGAAAUCCUUGGCUCUAAUACAGUCGGGGGAUGACGGUACCGGAAGAAUAAGCACCGGCUAACUACGUGCCAGCAGCCGCGGUAAUACGUAGGGUGCAAGCGUUAAUCGGAAUUACUGGGCGUAAAGCGUGCGCAGGCGGUUUGCUAAGACCGAUGUGAAAUCCCCGGGCUCAACCUGGGAACUGCAUUGGUGACUGGCAGGCUAGAGUAUGGCAGAGGGGGGUAGAAUUCCACGUGUGAGUAGUGAAAUGCGUAGAGAUGUGGAGGAAUACCGAUGGCGAAGGCAGCCCCCUGGGCCAAUACUGACGCUCAUGCACGAAAGCGUGGGGAGCAAACAGGAUUAGAUACCCUGGUAGUCCACGCCCUAAACGAUGUCAACUAGUUGUUGGGGAUUCAUUUCCUUAGUAACGUAGCUAACGCGUGAAGUUGACCGCCUGGGGGAGUACGGUCGCAAGAUUAAAACUC